CUACAUAGAGCAGCUUUGGACAUUUGUCCUGUGCUUGCUAAAAGAAAUCAUCAGGAGAAAGUUCAAAAACAAGAAGUACUACUUUACAGAGAUAUGUGACAGAGGCCCCAUGCAACGUACUACCACAGGACCUUUUAAAGUUCAAGACGGACCAAAGGUUCAAGAAGCGAUCAAACAAAAUAAUAGAAGAAAUGUGCCUUAAGAGCUGUUAGUUGUAGAAGGGCACGAAUAUAUCCCACCACAGAGAACACCCUGAAAGUGCAGAUUGGAAUAAUCAGAGAAGGCUAUAAUUUGGCUGGUGCUGUUGUAUGUUUGUCCCAUUUCUUGUUUUCCUUCACUAAGUCCUUGCUGUCAGCCAGUUAGACAUGGGAAAGAGAAGG
rnacentral:lncRNA from 1 species